GGGAUGGGGAAGCGGAUGGCAAGUCCUGGUUCAGUUCCAUCUUGUCUGACACAACCACAGCUCCAAAGUCCCUGGUGGCUCUGGGUGUCCCUUUCAACAUCUGCUACAGGCCAUGAUGCUAUCCAGGGAGAGAAGAGGAGCUCAGUCUAGAUGGCUACAGAGCUGGAGAGCACCCGUCAACUUAGCUCCUCACGAGGCGGGGCAGUGCAUAACUGAGCAGCCAGGAGGCUGAAACGUAAGCCAAAUUGAAAACCUCUGUGGGCUGAGACGUCAAAUCAAUAACAAAUGGACAGCAAGGCCAGCAUCACAAACCCUGGGAUACAGAGUACCAGCCACUGUUGAUCGAUGAGGGACAGGCAUGAGGCCAAAGCCAAAACACUGGGCCCUCUCUCAGAAAACUGAGGCCUAAGAUGCAAAUUCUAGGUCAAUCUAACUGUCUUCAUCAGCCCCAGAAAACAGCUGACCACCAUUUUCCCAGAGAUCAGAGGCAGAGAAAGCCAGUCUCCUACAGGAAGCAAGUGAAGAGAGGACUUGGGAGUACUCCAGUCUCCCCCUUGAGGCUAUGAGUAACAGGCUUAUGAGAACUUGGUCUUUGUUUCUAGAAGAGGAUGAGAAACUUACAGGCUGCGGUCCUCAUGUGACUGUCACCUGCAACCUGGAAUGUCAACAUACCUCUAAAAAGCCAACCCAGGAGGUAGAGAUGUAGCUCAGUUGGUAGAGUAUUUGCCUAGCAUAGAUGAGGCCCUGGGUUUGCUCCCUGGCCCUGCACAAACCAAGAAUUGUGGUACACACUGUGAUCCAGCACUUGUGAGUGGAGAGGGGGAUCAGGACUUCAAGGUCACCAUCAGCUACAUAAAGAGUUUCGAGUCAAGCUGCUGAGGAAAAAAAAAAAACAAACAAACAACUCUCAAAGCCAGGUCACACAAAGCAUUCUGUGUCCCCAGCAACACACAGCCUUCCCCUUCUCCUCUACAAUUCAUGUAGAGAAAAGUCAUUUUUUUUAAAAUUUUCAAUUUGAAGAAGGUUGCAGACCAGUUCUCUUUGCAGAGGAAUCAGAAGCCUUGAGUUCCUAUAACUUGUGGGUUUAGGCUGUGUGCUGACUUUGGGAGCAAAAUUGCUUGUUUUCUUGUCUAUGAAAUGGAACAAGGAGUACCAAGCUGGCCAGAUUGUCAGAAGAGUAAUAAAAAGGCUAUGAAUCAUGACACAGAUGUUGUAGAAAUGCCUCUCGUGAAUGAGUCACCUUCUACAGGAGGUGUUGAUGAAAAAGAGAUCUCCAGAGAAGUGUUGAGAUCCAGUCUGUCCACCUUGCCUGUGAUGCAAUCUUGGGCAAAUGACUGAACCACUCUGAGCCUCCGGAUUCCACAAUGCAGAUAUGGGUUGACCACACCCACUUUGCAGAAUUUCUCUGAAGGUUAGAUAAAAUUAUGUGUAUAGAUAUGUUUCCUUUCCCUCCUAUUCUAUCUCAGCAUUCAGGAGAGAGGCAGGAGGAUCAAAAGUUCAAGGUCAUCCUCUACAGCAUAGUGAAUUGGAGGCUGUCUGGGCUACAUGAGACCCUGAAAAAAAAAAAAAUCUUGAAGGAGGGAGGAGUGGACCAGGAGGAAACUAGAUUUUUGCUACAUACAGGGAAUAAGAUAACCCAAAAGAUCCUCUAUACUUUGCCUCACACAAUGUACCCAUGCUCCCUGUGUUAUGCAGCAAACCAUUUCUAGAGAUGGAGAUAAAUAAAAAGUCACGUGUGAAGCUCCAGCUCAAUCAUCUAGGAAACCAUGCAGAGACGCCACAGCCUCUGGUUUUGUAGAAGGCAUAUUUCUCUCCAUCCUGGCCUCUCCAUCCUGGCCUCUCCCGGGUCCUGUUGAACGAUUACUAUCUGCCAGUCACUGGGCACGGUCUCAUCAGCUCUUCUCUGUCAGCCUCUCUUCCCCCCCCAGAAACGGGACGUUAGUACACCACUUUGAAAAGCACAGCCAUCCAGGGGUGUCCCUGCUCUCUGUGUCUGCACCCUGACCGUGCCGGGAUCUAACGGGUCCUCUGGCUACACACACUCCAGGUAAACGAAGGGGAUGAACUCCAGCUGCUCGUCACCCAAUAAUUCGUCUAAUUUCAGCUCAGGCAACCAGAACAGGGCCUUACAAGUCAGGUCCAGAUCCUCUCCCACUUCCCAAUACAGCAGCCGUGUGGAGAUCAGGGGCUGAAGGAACAGUUAGCUGCCUCUAAGCAAAAGGGGGGUUUUGAAGGUUGGGGGGCUGGGGAGAUGGCUUAGUCAGUAAGUGCUUGCCAGGCAAGUGUGAAGCCCUGAGUUCAGAUCCUCAGAGCCCGGGUAAAAAGCCAGAUGUGGCAGCAUGCACCUGUCAUACCAAGAUGGGAGGUAGAGGCAGGGCGAUCCCUGGAAGCUCACUGGCUAGCUGACCAGCUUAGCUUAGCAAAACUCCAAUGAGAAACCCUGUCUCAAACGGCAAUCAGAAGACAUCUGAGGCAAAGGAUCCAAGGCUGUCCUUUGCACUUCACAUGCAUGUGCAACACACACACACACACACACACACACACACACACACACACACAGGAGUGAUUCUUUGUUUUACAAACACACAGACAACAGAAAUACUGAAACAAUCCUAGAAUGUAGUUUACCUCCUGUUUGCUGGGAACUCUUCAAGAACGCAUAAAUGUACUUUCAUACACCUUUGCUGUUUUGUUUGUUUCCUGCUGGUGAGUCUGGAUAAGGACCUUAGCCGACUUUAAAUUCCUGGGGUGUCCAUCACCUCUUUGCAAACAGUUCAUCAUUUAUAAACAAACAUCUAAAUAUUUGUUGGUGCCCAGGGCACAAAAGAACCCUCCAAUUAAUUCUUCCCAAAGCAGAAGUCCUUGGUAAGCAAAAAAACACUCUGUAAUUGUUUGUUUGAGAGUUCCUUUGGCUAGAGCUUUCAGGUGAGGCACGUGACCAGUAUAAUUGCUGCUUCUAAUUCUCCUGUCCGACGUUUGGUGUGCUUCUGAUUGCACAGUGGUGCAUCUCGGCCCUUCCUUGGGUGUGGUCAGCACUGGGAGGGCAGGUCCUUGCUCAGCCAGCAUUGGGAGGGCAGCACUGUUCACCCAACACCUCAGAUAGGAAUUCAAACGUGGGCGCCUAAUGAGCACUAAUGAGUGAAAGGUGCUGGCAUCAGGACUGCCAGUUAAGCUGUUUCAAGCCCUUCCUCCCGGAGAACUUAGAAUUGUCAGCGCCACUAACAGGGCUUUCAGGACUGGUCCACAGACGUUCAGCAAGGCGCUAGCAAAAAGCACAGGGUGUUUUAAGCAGCUGCAGCCUUCCAGCUUUAUCCAAUAGGGAUUCUGGUUUUGUUGUGUGAGACUUCUGGUUGCAUGCUGAGGCACUGGGGUGUGUGGGGAUGCUCUGUGGAACUUCCGACUGCAUUCUGUGGAGACUUCUGGUUGCAUGCUGAGGCACUGGGGUGUGAGGGGAUGCUCUGUGGAACUUCCGACUGCAUUCUGUGGCACUCCUACUUGGUUCCAUGGUGCUUCCUACACCUUCAGUUCUGUGAACUUCCGGCUGCAUUCUCUGGCGUUCUAAGAAACUUCCGGCUGCGUUCUGUGAACUUCCGGCUGUGUUCUCUGGCUACACCUUAGGUGCUGUGAACUUCCGGGUGCGUUCUCUGGUGUUCUGAGAAACUUCCAGCCGUGUUCUGUGAACUUCCGGCUGUGUUCUCUGGCUACACCUUGAGUUCUGUGGACUGGCUGUGUUCUCUGGCGUUCUGAGAAACUUCUGGAUGCGUUCUGUGAACCUCCGGCUGUGUUCUCUGGCGUUCUGAGAAACUUCUGGAUGUGUUCUGUGAACUUCCGGCUGUGUUCUCUGGCUACACCUUAGGUGCUGCGAACUUCCAUCUGUGUUCUCUGGCUACACCUUGAGUUCGUGAACUUCCGGCUGUGUUCUCUGGCGUUCUGAGAAACUUCCGGCCACGUUCUGUGAACUUCCGGCUGUGUUCUCUGGCUACACUUUCAGUUCUGUGAACUUCCGGCUCUGUCCUGUGGAACACCCUGCACUGUUCUAGGGAGCGUCUACUGCGGCUCUUGCCAAGUUAACUGGCCUCUUUAUGGAAACCAGGGUCUUUCUCUCUUGGACCUCACUGGGAGACAGGGUUGACCCAUGAGUUACCCUCUGCUUGUGACUGUCCUGCUUCCUUGUUGGAUUGGUAGGCCCUUGCAAGACGUGUACCAGCAAAACUGACCUUCCCUCAACACAUCUCCAUUAAUAUCUGCUCUGCAACCCUGCAUGAGGGUGUUCUAAGCCUCCUGCUGGGAAAACCCAACCAGUACCCUCCCUUCACUUACCUAAAAUGUAUAUAUGAUCUAUGUGUAUAUCGAGUUUAAUUUUCUGCUGGCUUGUGUAACUAACUGCUGAACAAAAGUAGCAAGUGUGCAGAGCAUUUGAGAGACUUGAGCAUUUUACUCCCUAAAAAGAUUGUAAACUGUGGCUAUCCUGUGUGGCACAUGCAGGGUCUUUUUGGGUAGCCAAGGAUGCCCUCUCUGUCCUGCCUCUGCUGCUUCCUAAGUGAUGGGAUUGUAAGUGUAUGACACCAUGUCCAGGGCUAGGAACUGAACCUAGGACUUCGACAUGCUAGGCAGGUGCUCUGCCAUUGAGUCUCUUCCCAAAUCCCCUUCCCUAUCUCAAAUAGUAGAAUGUUCGCCAAGGGCUGUCUUCAACCCUUCCUCUUAGCUGAAGAGUUCAAUUAAUGUCUAUUGAAGAGGAGGAGCAGGGAAGGAGGCUCACUGAUUUCCACAUGGAAGGCGUUUCCCUCCAGCUGUAUCAGCAGAAAUGCUAGUCUAGAGCUUUCUGUUUGAAGGACUGUGUCUCUUCUAUAAUUUCCUCCUCUAGCCUGUCAUUCUUUGCUUAGUUGAAUCUGAACAACCCUUGAAAACAAUGUAAAUAUUUGCUCCCUGAAGAAACUGCCCUAGCCCAGGCUGAUCUUGCUACCCUCCUCCUGGGCAAAGUUGGUCUUGGCCCAUUUGUAGCCUAGUGGGGUACCAGCAAUCCCUGCUGAAUCUCAUUCUCUUGAUGAUAUAUUCCUUCAGGGAAGAGACUGUGUCUUAUUUUCCAAACUGUGUGUUCUAACAGUGAAUGACACACCAGAGGUAAAUAAAUUUUGAGACUCUGAAUGCAGAUAAAAACUUUAGGGAAAGCUGGGCGUGAUUGUCACGCCUUUAGUCGUAGCCCUCAGGAGGCAGAGGCAGGCAGAGCUCUAUGAGUUCAAGGUCAGUCUGGUCUACAGAGUGAGCUCCAGGCUAGCCAAGGCUUCAUAGUGAGAUCCUGUUUUUUAAAAUAAACAAAUAAAUAAAUGAAUAAAUAAAUAAAUAAAGGCAGUGGUGGCACAUGCCUUUAAUCCCAGCACUUGGGAGGCAGAGGCAGGCGGAUUUCUGUGAGUUUGAGGCCAGCCUGGUCUACUGAGUGAGUUCCAGGACAGCCAAAGCCACACAGAGAUACCCUGCCAUGAAAAAACAAAACAAAACAAAAACACAAACAAACUUUGAGGAGUCCAUCUUCUUCUUGAGACCAAGACCUUAAUGAAAUUUUAAGUUUUUGUUUGUUUGUUUGUUUAUGUGGUGCUUGGGAUUGAACUCCAGGCCUUAAGCCAUACCUACAACCUCAGGAAAAAUUUAAAGCUGUAUUUUUAUUUUACCAACAUAUAGUAAUCAUAAAUAUUUAUGGAUUGCAGUAUGGCAUUCAACACAUAUACAUGAUGUUUGAUGACCAGAUCAAGGUGACUAGCUUCUAUCACCUUGGACGUUCAUUAUUUCUUUGAUGGGAAACCCCAAAAAUCCUCUCCCCUAGCUCCUUGAAUAUAUUCAAUUAAUUAUUGUCAAUCACACUAUUCCUCCCGGCCAGCUGUACCACGCAGUCAGACAUCUUCUCUCCACCCCUCCCUCCCCACACCUUUCUCUGGCUUUGGUAACAACUGCUACUUUCUCUGCUUCCCUGAGAUCCUCUGUUUAACUUCCACACUGAGUGAGAAGAUGUAGUAUUUGUCUUUCUGUGUCUGACUUAUUUCACUUAAUGCACCUCCAGUGCCACCUAUGCUACUGCAAAUGAUAGAAUUUCACUCCUCCUUCUGCCAAAUAAUAUCCCAUUGUGUAUAUACAGCACAUUUCCCGUCUGUCUCUUGAUGGGCACUUAGGCUGUUUUCAGCUCUUAGCUGUUGUGAAUGGUGCUGCAAUAAAUGUUUCUCUGAUAUACUGACUUCAUUUCUUUUACAGAUAGACCUAGUAGUUAGUUAGUUUGUGUGUGUGUGUGUGUGUGUGUGUGUGUGUGUGUGUGUGUGUGUGUGUGUGAAUAUGCAUGUGGAGGCAAUCGGGAGGCAGAGCCAGAUGGAUCUCUUUGAGUUCGAGGCCAGCCUGGUCUACAGAGGGAGAGCCAGCACAAGCACCAAAACUACACAGAGAAACCCUGUCUCGAAAAACCAAGGGAAAAAAAAAGCCUUAUUUACUUCAUUUUAUUUAUGUAUAUGUUUGCCUGAAUGAGUUUACAUGGACAACACCUCUGCAACAGUCUGUGAAGGCCAGAAGAGGGGCUGGAUCCUCUGGGGCUAGAUUUACAGGUGGUUGUGAGCCUUCAUGUGGGUGCUGAGAAUCAAAUCUGGGUCCUCUGUGAGAGCAAAAGAGCAGCAUGUUCUCUUGCCCACUGAGCCAUCUCUCCAGCCCCAAUCCAUCGCACACCCAAUCACCGUGCAUAGAACGUCUCACCAGCCUGGAACUCACCAUGUAGCCGGACUGGCUGACCAGCGGACUCUAGUGCCUGCCUCUACCUCUCCAACUCUGGGAUUACAAGUGUGUGCCAACACUCCCAGCUUUGCCCUGAUCUGUUCUCAUGACUAAACCCAGAACACACUUGGAUGGGAAUACCACAGGAGCGAGUUGUAUUCUGCUUAGUACAUCAUAUCAGGAGGUUCAUAGGCUUCUAUCCUGCAAGGUUAUAAAAGUCAAGGGGGAUGGCAUUUUCUGGGGAGUCUUUAAGAUGAUAUAAAUGGUCUUUUUCUCAUCCUACUUGCACUCACUAAUCCUACCAUCCAUCCAUCCAUGAUUCUUUCCUGAAAUAGCCACACUUAAUUUAAAACAAUAGAAUAAUUAAGAGAAAUAAAUGAUAGGUAAACCUAUGAAGACAACCUUAUUAAAAAAAAAAAAAAAAGAGACUGUGCCAUGGUCUUUUCUUAGGUAGCAGGCAGAAGCCUCAAAAUGUCCACUAAAUUAUUUAAAUUACUGUUGACUUUCAGGCACUCUGAACCCAUGAGAGGGCUGUGUCCUAUUUGCUUAUUGGAUAAUAUGGCCUUGCAACUAGUCCAUGACUAUACAUCCCAUGUGAACUAAUCCCCUGGGAUCCCUUGGCACAUUACUGCUCUUGACCAGUUCACCCUGGCCCUUGAGCCAAUUAGGAUGUACCUAUCUGGAGGCUGGUAUGAAAGUUCAUCUUUAUUUUAAAAUUUUUAUUUAAAAUUUUAAAUUUUGUUUUAAUUUUUAGUUAUAUAUAUGUGGGAGAGUGGGAUUGUAUGUGAGUGUUGGAGCCUUGGAGGCCAGAGGCAUCAGAUCCCCUGGAUCUGGUGUUACUGGCCAUUGUGAGCCAUCUGAUAUGGAUGUUGAGAGCCAAACUUGAGAGUUCUUUGCAAGAGCAGCAAACACUUUGAACUACUGAGCUGUCUCUCUAGCCCCAGAUGAAGUUAGAAUUGUUUUGUUCUGAGGCAGAGAUUCACUGUGCAGUUCUGGCUGGCCUGGAAUUCACUGUGUAGCUAUGUAGACCAGGGUAGCCUGGAACUCUUAUCAAUCUGCCUCACUCUGUUUCCUGAAUGGGAAUAAAGACGUGAACCACCACACUUGGGUGUUUUAACUUUGUAUUCAUAUUUGGGGUAGGGCUGUCCCACAGCAUGUAUUUGAGGGUCAGAGGAUCAGUUCCCUCCUUCCACUUUGUGUGUCCCAGCCUUGGUGGCAAAUGCCUUAAUCCAGCAAGCCACCUGGCAGGCUCCAAUGAUGUCUCUUCCAUCUUUGAGUUCUUCAAUUUUGUGUUCCUUCCAAUCUCACCUCUAAGUUCUGUUUGACAUAAAGUCCUCAGGGAAGAGUUUCUUAAAUUUGCAGAAAAUGUAGUUGGCGGGAAAUCUAGUUGAAACAGAUUGAAGCUAUUUAUUACCUUUGUUUAUCUCAUUAGUAGAUUAGGAGAUGGCCGUAACUCUGUGAGGCUCCUUCCAUGCAGAGGUGACCUUUGUUUUUCCUAUUGGAAUCUGGGCUGGCCUUUGCCAGGAGAAUAAGCUGUCUGUGUGUUUCGUUUUGUUUUGUUUUGUUUUGUUUUGAAGAUGGUAUGUACCCUGAGGGUCUGGGCCUGAAGUCCCUGCUUGUGAGAGUUCAUCUUCAGGUUAUUUUACUGGAUUUAGAAUCACCUAGGAGACACACCUCUGGGUGUCUGUGAGAAGAGUCUGCAGGGAGGUCUAACCAA